CUUGACUGUCGAGACUUUCCAGAGAUGGAUUCGGUGCCUUCGGGAACUCGAACACAGGUGCUGCAUGGCUGUCGUCAGCUCGUGUCGUGAGAUGUUGGGUUAAGUCCCGCAACGAGCGCAACCCUUGUCCUUAGUUGCCAGCACGUAAUGGUGGGAACUCUAAGGAGAGCGCCGGGACCCCCCGGAGGAAGGGGGGAUGACGCCAAGCAAACUGGCCUUUAC
rnacentral:rRNA from 1 species